rnacentral:lncRNA from 1 species
CGCUAGUUAUCAUGGAAUGCCCGUAGGUGGUCAACCCCUCUUGUUGCACCGAUGACAUCCUCCAAUCUGAUAGUCUCAUCUCUGGAUGCGCCUCUCAUCCAUCAAUCAUCAUGGAUAUCACCCCUGGGUCAAUUAUCAAGGUGAGGAAAUUUUGUUGGUUUCAGAUCUAGAAUCCUCUCCACAAAUCCAGGGAUUGUCGAGAUUUGUCAUAGAAGUGGCUUAAUUUAGCUGGAUCUAGGUCCGAUCAUAGUCAAGUUAUGAUGUAUCGUAUCAAGGUUUCGAUCUUGAUGUAUGUGAACAUUCGAGCCAUUCAAAGUAAAUAUACGACUAGAUCUGGGUGCAUCCAUACAGAUCUAGCACAUUAUAUGUGUGAUUUUGCGAUAUCGCAGGUACAUAAGGCCGGAUCUGGGAAGAUCCACUCUGACGCGGUCAUCUAGAGGGCAUGAUGCGGCAAUAUAUGGUAGGAAGUUGGCAUCUAAUACGGACACCAUGAAUUAUGCAUUUUCCUUGGCCACAGACAACACCCUUUACUUUUAUGGUGGAGCUAGCAGUUCAAGGGGAUUUCUUAAUCAUCUUCAUAUAUUUUCCGGCCCAUAAACUCCUCAUGACGAGUGAAGUUCCACUAUAAUGCUCUGGUGAGUAUUUUUUGAGUUCAUCCAUUUCUAAUCUUGUUUCCCCUUCCUUUUUUAUUUACAUGUUGUGUUGUCUUGUGUUAAUUAUAUUCAUCUCCUCCCGUCAUGUUAUUGUAUUUUACAUACUAGUUAUCUCUUGUUUUCACUUCAAGGAGUUCAAAUUGGUUAUUUUCAUGUAUAGAUAUCUCUAAGAGGGCCAAUAUUUUGGAAGAUGCUUGAUUUUGAUUUUUGCACAACAUGAGGACGAUGCUUGGUUAGUUUACAAUAGUUUUGCUAGCAAAACUAAUAUAUUGCAAUGCGAAGAGACUACUUAGUAUACAAGAGCCCACAGUAUAUGUAUGUUUUCCUCCUGUCCUCCCCCAAUAAAAUCAACUUACCAUUUUUGCCUUCCCCUACUCCACCCAAGCCUUUUAUAUAACCCCAUUCCCGGUUGUCUUUCCACGAGCGACAUGAAAACAUCUUUGACUUCUCUAGUUAUUGUGCAAUGUCCAUAGGUGCUCAAACUCUCUUAUUGAACCGAUGACAUCCUCCAAUCUCAUAGUAUCAUCUCUGGAUGUGUAUCUCAUCCGCCGUUCUUCAUCGACAUCGCCCCUGUUUCAACUCUCAAGGUGAGUAAAUUUUGUUGGUUUUUAGAUCUGGAAUCUUCUCCACAAAACCAGGUAUUGUCGAGAUUUGUCAUAGAAGUGGCUUAAUUUAGCUUGAUCAGGUCCCAUCAUAGUCAAGUUGUGAUGUAUCAUAUAAAUGUUUGGAUCUUCAUGUAUCUGAAUAUUCCAGCCAUUCUAUCUAAAUAUACGACUAGAUCAGGAUGCAUCCAUACAGAUCUAGGACAUGAUAUGUGUUAUUUUGCGAUAGCGCGGGUAGAUAAGGUCGGAUCUAGGAAGAUCCACUCUAAUGCGAUCAUCUAGAGGGCAUGAUGCGCCAAUAUAUGGUAGGAAGUUGGCAUCUAAUACGGACACCAUGAAUUAUUAAUUUUCCUCUGCCAUAGGCAACAUCGUUUACUUUUAUGGUGGAGCUUGCAGACCAUGGGGAUCUCUUCAUCAUCUUCAUAUAUAUUUUGGCCCACAAACUCUUCACAGCGAGAGAAAUUACACUACAUGCUCUGGCGAGUAUUUCUUCGAGUUUAUCUAUUUAUAAUAUUGUUUCCCCUUCCUUUUUUAUUUACGUGCUCCCCCAUCUUGUUUAAAUUAUAUUCAUAUCCUCUUAUCAUGUCAUAGUAGUUUAUAUACUAAUUCUCUCGCGUUUUCACUUCGAAUAGUUCAAACUGGUUACUUUCAUGUAUAGGUAUCCCUAAGAGGAUCAAUAUUUAGGGGCAUGCUUGAUUUUAAUUUUUGCACAACAUGUGGAUGAUGUUUGGUUAGUACACUAUAUUUUUGCCAGCCAAAUCUUGUGGCCUUGAACAUGAAAUGGUAGUUAAUAUGGUGGGCUAUCCUAAUGAUUGUCGGAACCAUGAAUAGGGAAUGUUAGCUAUUGUGUUGUACAAUACCUCCUGUUGUCAAAGUUGUAGCUUGGGGCCAACAAGGUCACUCAAAAUAGCAUUUUUGUAAGCAUCUAGCCCGUAAAUGUGAAAAUCCCAUUGACACAUCAUCACCUAGGUUGUGGCAAUAAUAGUAUUUUUCAAUUUGUAGCUCUGCGCCUCCGCACAUCUAUGUACGACUACAUGUGAGAAAUAGUCUCACAUUGCUUACAUGGAUAGACUACCAUCAACAUAUAAAGCCAAUGAUUCCAUGGCAACUAACCUGGGUAAAUACUUCACACGAGUUGGAAAAUUAUGUGAACUGUUAAGGUUGCACACUUAGUGACGAACAUAGAGAGGAUUUUGUAUAAGUGAACUUGGAGACAAGACUACUAUACAACAUAUUAAACACAAUAAAUAAAUCUAAUAUAAAACUAUGAAAUUUGUU